UUCUUGAUAUGAUUUAAAUCUUUAUCUGUUUGAAACUGAUAUUAUCAUGAUAGCACAUGUUAAGAAACGACCAUGUUGGCUGAGUAAGUUUAAAUGGAGAGAUAAUAGAUUUCUAAAGGAUAAAUACUAGUUGAAUGAAAGAAUAACAUGAAUAGCUAGUGAUGGCUGAAGUUAGACAUGAAUUUAAGUUUUGGGGGAAAUAUUUGGAGUAUAUAAGCUUUAAAAAAAACCAUGGCUAGUUUUGUUUUGGGGCCUUUGUUACUUGAGCAAGUAAGCCCGAGGGAGUGUCUCUACACCUAGCGCCCUAAGGUCUUAUAUGGCCUGGGAGUAGUUGGUCGAAAGCUCGUUAAGGGGUAUCACUGUUAGCCUAAUAGAAUGAGACAUUGCACAGUCAUAGGGGUAAUAAAAAAUUAAUAACAUGGGAAAAGUGCAAAAAGCCCCCGUUAGAAAAUAAAUAAAUAAAUAAAUAGAAAUAAAGCAUAAGUAUUCCACUUUGACCCUUGGACUUUGGUAAUUGUUUGAUUUUAGCCGGAUUCAGUUUAUUUGAGGAGUUCUCGAGUUUAUACUGUAUGAUGCCUUCUAAAAAAUCUAUUAUGUUUCGUAUUUUGCUUUUCAUCAGUUAUCAUGGUUGUUGAGCACACACGCACGAUAUCAGUAAUAACAGGUUUAGAUUUGUUGUUUGUUGGGAUAUUAUUGAUCUGUCUUGAUAUGAUGUACUAGCAUGUUAUUGUGAUUUUUCUGAGGCCUGAUGAGUAUACGGUGUUUUUUUUGAUUGCUGGAAUUACAAACAUGUAGAUAGUUAUAUGUGCAUUUGCAUGAUAUAUUUAGUUUUUCUUGUU
rnacentral:lncRNA from 1 species